GCCCGCUCAGAAACUCAAAGGAAUUGACGGGGCCCGCACAAGCGGAGGAACAUGUGGUUUAAUUCGAUGAUACGCGAGGAACCUUACCCGGGCUUGAAAUGCAUCUGACCGGCCUUGAAAGAGGCACUCCCUUCGGGGCAGAUGUGUAGGUGCUGCAUGGUUGUCGUCAGCUCGUGCCGUGAGGUGUCGGCUUAAGUGCCAUAACGAGCGCAACCCUCAUCAUUAGUUACCAUCAGGUAAGGCUGGGGACUCUAAUGAGACUGCCAUCGUAAGAUGUGAGGAAGGUGGGGAUGACGUCAAAUCAGCACGGCCCUUACGUCCGGGGCGACACACGUGUUACAAUGGGUGGUACAAAGGGCAGCUACCUGGCGACAGGAUGCUAAUCUCGAAAACCGCUCUCAGUUCGGAUCGGAGUCUGCAACUCGACUCCGUGAAGCUGGAUUCGCUAGUAAUCGCGCAUCAGCCACGGCGCGGUGAAUACGUUCCCGGGCCUU
rnacentral:rRNA from 1 species